UGUGCAGAGGAAAGACCACACAGCGAGAGGCCACCAUGUGCAAGUCAAGAAGGGAGGUCUCAGCAGACACCAGCCCUCAUACCUUGCUCAUCGACUUCUAGCCUAUAGAACUGUGAGAAAAUAAACUUCUGUUGUCUAAGCCAUCGUUGUGGCAACCCAAGCAGACUAACACACCUCUGUUGAAGAACUCACUUGGGUUUCCCAGAGCUAGACAAAGACAUCUUAGUGGCACUGCCCUCUGUCACACUCCCUGCCACCAGCCAAUCCAUCGCCCCAGGCAAGGACAACAAGCAUUAAGCUGGCGCUUUCUGAAGGGAGGCCCAGCAAGGACUCUCCAGAUAAGUCACCUGAUGAUCAGUCCUGAUAACAUGGAGUUCCUGGUUCACGCAUCCAAAUCAGGGAUCCACUAAAGUAAAAGCUCUCCUCUGAGCUUUUCCUCAGGACUUUGGGAAACGAACACAGCCCGCAAAGCCUACCUUGGGGAUCAUGUCCCAUCCUUCCCCUGAGAAAGAUAAAACCUCUCAAAGUCAA